rnacentral:lncRNA from 1 species
CCCUGGUCCCACCCUGAGGAAAGCAGGGUGCUAGGUCGGGGUCCCCGGUGGGCAGGCGUGGGUUCUGGCACCUGUGUGAGGAGCCCCCACCCACUGAGCCACUGGAGGGAGCCUGAGGACAGGAUUGGCGGUUGGGGUGUGGCCAGGAGAGGCUGCCCCUGCCAGCCACCCAACCCGGAGAACAGGUUCCUCCACCUGGUGGGCAGGCGGCGAGGUGAUAGUGGCAGAGGCCAGGAGCGGUGCCCUGGCUGCUGUGGAUGGAACCCGGAGGCCCUGCAAGGCCUGCGAUGGGCAACAGGCCCUGGUGUCACCCCUGCAGGGCACACUGUGGGGGCACAGGGCCCUCUGGAAGUAUCCUGCCUCCUGCUGACCCCAGGCUACCCCACUGCUAACUGGGCUGCCAUGGCCCUCUCCAGCAUGGGUCUUCCGCUGGCCGGGCCCCUCAGCCAUGCUGCUCCACCUGAGGACCCAGGUCCGGCUCCAGACUGCAGAUGGCUGUUCCUGAGCGCCAACGUUCUGCCCGUGGGUGAGUGAGGCUG